AGAGUUUGAUCCUGGCUCAGGACGAACGCUGGCGGCGUGCCUAAUACAUGCAAGUCGAACGAAGCUUUCUUUCACCGAAUGCUUACAUUCACCGAAAGAAGCUUAGUGGCGAACGGGUGAGUAACACGUAGGCAACCUGCCCAAAAGAGGGGGAUAACACUUGGAAACAGGUGCUAAUACCGCAUAACCAUGAACACCGCAUGAUGUUCAUGUAAAAGACGGCUUUUGCUGUCACUUUUGGAUGGGCCUGCGGCGUAUUAACUUGUUGGUGGGGUAACGGCCUACCAAGGUGAUGAUACGUAGCCGAACUGAGAGGUUGAUCGGCCACAUUGGGACUGAGACACGGCCCAAACCCCUACGGGAGGCAGCAGUAGGGAAUCUUCCACAAUGGACGAAAGUCUGAUGGAGCAACGCCGCGUGAAUGAAGAAGGCCUUCGGGUCGUAAAAUCCUGUUGUCAGAGAAGAACGUGCGUGAGAGUAACUGUUCACGUAUUGACGGUAUCUGACCAGAAAGCCACGGCUAACUACAUGCCAGCAGCCGCGGUAAUACGUAGGUGGCGUGCGUUGUCCGGAUUUAUUGGGCGUAAAGGGAACGCAGGCGGCCUUUUAAGUCUGAUGUGAAAGCCUUCGGCUUAACCGAAGUAGUGCAUUGGAAACUGGAAGACUUGAGUGCAGAAGAGGAGAGUGGAACUCCAUGUGUAGCGGUGAAAUGCGUAGAUAUAUGGAAGAACACCAGUGGCGAAAGCGGCUCUCUGGUCUGUAACUGACGCUGAGGUUCGAAAGCGUGGGUAGCAAACAGGAUUAGAUACCCUGGUAGUCCACGCCGUAAACGAUGAGUGCUAAGUGUUGGAGGGUUUCCGCCCUUCAGUGCUGCAGCUAACGCAUUAAGCACUCCGCCUGGGGAGUACGGUCGCAAGACUGAAACUCAAAGGAAUUGACGGGGGCCCGCACAAGCGGUGGAGCAUGUGGUUUAAUUCGAAGCAACGCGAAGAACCUUACCAGGUCUUGACAUCUUCUGACAAUUCCAGAGAUGGAACGUUCCCUUCGGGGACAGAAUGACAGGUGGUGCAUGGUUGUCGUCAGCUCGUGUCGUGAGAUGUUGGGUUAAGUCCCGCAACGAGCGCAACCCUUAUUGUCAGUUGCCAUCAUUAAGUUGGGCACUCUGGCGAGACUGCCGGUGACAAACCGGAGGAAGGUGGGGAUGACGUCAAAUCAUCAUGCCCCUUAUGACCUGGGCUACACACGUGCUACAAUGGACGGUACAACGAGUCGCUAACUCGCGAGGGCAAGCUAAUCUCUUAAAGCCGUUCUCAGUUCGGAUUGCAGGCUGCAACUCGCCUGCAUGAAGUCGGAAUCGCUAGUAAUCGCGAAUCAGCAUGUCGCGGUGAAUACGUUCCCGGGCCUUGUACACACCGCCCGUCACACCAUGAGAGUUUGUAACACCCAAAGUCGGUGGGGUAACCUUUUGGAGCCAGCCGCCUAAGGUGGGACAGAUGAUUGGGGUGAAGUCGUAACAAGGUA
rnacentral:rRNA from 1 species